rnacentral:rRNA from 1 species
AUUGAACGCUGGCGGCAGGCUUAACACAUGCAAGUCGAGCGGAGAGAGGUAGCUUGCUACUGAUCUUAGCGGCGGACGGGUGAGUAAUGCUUAGGAAUCUGCCUAUUAGUGGGGGACAACAUUUCGAAAGGAAUGCUAAUACCGCAUACGUCCUACGGGAGAAAGCAGGGGAUCUUCGGACCUUGCGCUAAUAGAUGAGCCUAAGUCGGAUUAGCUAGUUGGUGGGGUAAAGGCCUACCAAGGCGACGAUCUGUAGCGGGUCUGAGUGGAUGAUCCGCCGCACUGGGACUGAGACACGGCCCAGACUCCUACGGGAGGCAGCAGUGGGGAAUAUUGGACAAUGGGCGGAAGCCUGAUCCAGCCAUGCCGCGUGUGUGAAGAAGGCCUUAUGGUUGUAAAGCACUUUAAGCGAGGAGGAGGCUACUUUAGUUAAUACCUAGAGAUAGUGGACGUUACUCGCAGAAUAAGCACCGGCUAACUCUGUGCCAGCAGCCGCCGUAAAAC